AAAUCCAGAGUCAGUCACUUGCUUAAGUGACUGAGCCACCCGGGUGCCCUGAGAACUCUGCAAUUUCUAUAUGCAUAAACCAGCUUGGAAAAAUUAUGCAAAUAUGAAGCUAUUCUUGAAAUUGGUUAUUUUAUUAAAUUUGAAUAGACUGGUCCCCAACCAGGAUCAUCAGUUGAAGUGCAUAGAUUAUUGCUGUAGUAUUUACUGGGCAUAUGCAUUUAUUUAGGUAAAAGUUUGGCUAAACUUUAUUCACAUGGAAUUUCUAAAUCCUGCAGUUCCUGGUUUAUCCUGUUUAUGUGGAAAAUAAUGGAAACACACAAUUAGGUCCUCCUCCUCCUGCUUCUCUCUUUUUUCCCUACCUACAUUUGCUGUUGCUUACUUUGCUUUUUGCUGGUACGUUCUUAGAAUCUGUCACCUCUGUCAGUGAAAUCAAAUCUGCCGCUGCGACAAGCAGUAGAACUUCAUGAUGAGAUCGGAUCGAUGGCAAGACCCUGAAAGUCUGGAGGAAAUGUGUUCUGGUCAGAGCAGACUGGGGUGAAGCUGGCCUAGAACUUGGGAUCCUGCCUUCAGAACUGCUGCACAAGUUAUUGCUUCUAACAGCAUGAGCUCUUGAGUGUUCAACAUUCCCGAGAACUCAUUUAGCUGUUGUUUCCCCCUAGAAAGGCCACUCAGACAAGACCUUGCAGUUACUGCCAGACCCUACCAAAGAAGAGUUUACAGCACAACAAACAAGCAUCUGGAAACAGCAUAUUAAAAUCCCUCUUCUUAAAAAAUCCAUUGUCCAACUCAGACUCUAACAUCCCUGGUGCCCUCAACUCUCCUGUCUACUUUUCUCCUUCUAUCCAUCUUGAGAGCAAGCCCAACUUCAGUAGUAGUGCUUUUGGUAUUGUCGUCUUAUGUAAUAUUUCGGUUAAUUCUUUGUUUCGUUUUCUCCUUAUGGUCUUGCUUGACUCUAUGCACUAAAAAAACAAAACAAAAACAAAACAGAACAAAGAAAUUAAAACCUGAUCCAAAUCAAACCAAACCAACAACCCAAUGUGCCAUUGAAUUAUUUUUCUAAGUGAAGAAUAUUUCCCCCCUGCAAGGCGCCACUUGUGACACACACACACACACACACACACACACACACACACACACUUAAUUACAGUUAAUGCACAGUUCAAGUAACAUCAUGGUCCUGGUAUUAAUUCUAGUCCUUUCUCAUUAAGAUUGGUGGUGAAUGUUUUAGCCCCAGGUAGCUAAGGGGAAGUUGCCUGCUGUCUUUUAAAUCUGGGUCCUCUUCUUUUAAUGACCUAACUUGAUCAUCUUCAAUCAAUCUCCUUUUUGGAUUUCAUCCAUCUCAAAUGAGCUUCUCCUUCUAUAUGAGCUACUGUACCAAUCACUGAGAGAAUUCAAUUUGUUUGCAAUUGCUUGAGGAUCUGACUUCACUGUACAGUCUUUGGAGUAUAGUUCUAGCUAUUUCUUUUUACAACUUCUAUCCGGUUCUGUGCACAUUAUGGAAGUGCAGUUCUUUUAAGCCCUUUUAUGUACAUAGCAACAUCUGCCUCUGAACUUCCCUGUAGCAAUGGGAAUUUUAGCUACUCUGGCUUUGGCGUGGAAGAAAUAAAUUCCAGGUUGAGUGUUCCUUCAUAAAGUCUUCACCUAUUACUCAAAUGUUAUGUCUGGUUACCUUCUGUUUUGUCCUAAUCAGUGUCAUCUCUGUUUGCAGGAACUGGGGUUCUGCUUUUUAAUUUUUCUUGCCCACUGUGCAGAGGGUAUACCGGUAAAAUGAGUCACUACUAAAAUGAGUGGGGAUCCAGAAAUACCCCCAUAUGAUUGUUACCUGAAUUUAAAAACCACAACAAAAAGCUAUCUGUUCUAUGCAUGUACACCAUUUAAUUAGAAAUGAUGAGGUAUAUUUUUUUGUUCUUGCAAAAUAUUCCAACUUUCAGGAGUGUGGGAUCUAUUUAUGCCAGGAAAACAAUGAAUACUUUCUCUCUUCGUGAGAAGGUAGCCAGAAUAUCAAGAUUGGUUUAAACAGAGGGGCAACAGGUGAAGUGUAAUAUAGUUAGUAUUUCAUUGAUGGUAUUUCUCCCAAAAUCAAAGUGGCUCUUUUAUGCUAUCUGUAAAGUUGAGUAUAGACGUUGCUAAGGGCAGUGAAUUAGAAUAUAGCUUUUUUCCUUGCUUUAGAAAAAUGUUCAUGGUCCCAAGGUAGUUAAACGUCAUAUGCUUUUCAUGAAGAAAUAUGGGUUGUAAAAAAAUUGUUAAUGACCAUUAUGUGGAUCUUUGUUAAAGGAAGAAUCUUAGAGUAGAAAUAUUGGCGUGCCUGUAGAUACCUGGUUAUAACAAUGGAUCUAUUAUGGUAAAUGUAGAAUUCCCGGAUGGGUUUCUUACUGCUUCUCUGCCCUGCUUCCUAAAUGCUCUUUUGCAAGAAGAGAGACCUAGAGUCCUUCUAGAUUAGUUGCUGCCUCCCAGAAUCUACCCCCUCUUCUGACUCCAUGACGGUAAACUCCCUCCACAUACCUAAACCAGGGACUGUUGUGAUAACUAAGUGAAAGCUCUUUGUGAAACUGCAGGCUGUUUGAAAAGUGCUAGACUAAUCAGUAGACACUGUUUUUAUGCUAAGAUUCUCAUAAAAUAUCAAUGGAUCCCUUAAAUUUCAAUUGCUAACCUCUUAAAAGAUACAAACUCUUUAUUCUUUAUGAUUGAGUUCUUGCUAUGGAAUAUUGGAAAUCUAGGUGGAAAUAUAUGUGCCAUACGUGUGUGAUAUUCUGCAUAUCAAUGUAUUUCACUACACAUCUCUUACAUUUAUGGUUAAGGGUAUUACUUUUGAGAAGAUAUAUAUACACUGUGUGUAUAUAUACAUAUAUAUAUGCAAUAAAUAUAUGCAAUAUAUAUGCAAUGUUCUACUCACAUGCUGUUCAGUUACUGAGGAACAGUCUCUGGGCCAGUGUUAUUCAGAUGUUUCUUAAUACCUUUCCCUAUACCAUUUUUCUCAUGGCUAAUUAUUUGACACACAGAGCUCAGAGCUGUCGGUCAAAAAUAUAAAGAAUUAAGCAGCAAUAUCUGAGUGGUGAUCACUUAAGUAUUCAUUUUAAUUUUACUUUUUAUUUAUACAUAUAUUGUAUAUAUUUUUUGAUACGUAUUAAAUAAUCUUAAAAUGAAAGUAAUAACCAUUCUCAUGGAGUAGUUUAAAAUAGUAGAAGCUAGGGGCACCCGGGUGGCUUAGUCGGUUAAGCAUCCAACUCCUGGUUUCA